AUUGAACGCUGGCGGCAGGCCUAACACAUGCAAGUCGAGCGAGCGGCGGACGGGUGUGUAAUGUCUGGGAAACUGCCUGCUGGAGGGGGAUAACUACUGGAAACGGUAGCUAAUACCGCAUACCAUCAGAUGUUCCCAGCUGGGACGAGCUGGUAGGUGGGGUAACGGCCCACCUAGGCGACGUUCCCUAGCUGGUCUGAUAGGAUGACCAGCCAAACUGGAAAUGAGACACUGUCCGGAAUCAUACGGGGGGCAGCAGUGGGGAAUAUUGAACAAUGGGCGAAAGCCUGAUGCAGCCAUGCCGCGGGUGUGAAGAAGGCCUUCGGGUUGUAAAGCACUGUCGGCGGGGAGGCGUUACCCGCAGAGGAAGCACCGGCUAACUCGGUGCCAGCAGCCGCGGUAAUUC
rnacentral:rRNA from 1 species